rnacentral:rRNA from 1 species
GAUGAACGCUGGCGGCGUGCCUAAUACAUGCAAGUCGAGCGAACGGACGAGAAGCUUGCUUCUCUGAUGUUAGCGGCGGACGGGUGAGUAACACGUGGAUAACCUACCUAUAAGACUGGGAUAACUUCGGGAAACCGGAGCUAAUACCGGAUAAUAUUUUGAACCGCAUGGUUCAAAAGUGAAAGACGGUCUUGCUGUCACUUAUAGAUGGAUCCGCGCUGCAUUAGCUAGUUGGUAAGGUAACGGCUUACCAAGGCAACGAUGCAUAGCCGACCUGAGAGGGUGAUCGGCCACACUGAAACUGGGACACGGUCCAGACUCCUACGGGAGGCAGCAGUAGGGAAUCUUCCGCAAUGGGCGAAAGCCUGACGGAGCAACGCCGCGUGAGUGAUGAAGGUCUUCGGAUCGUAAAACUCUGUUAUUAGGGAAGAACAUAUGUGUAAGUAACUGUGCACAUCUUGACGGUACUAAUCAGAAAGCCACGGCUAACUACGUG